rfam:Nematostella vectensis strain CH2 x CH6 NEMVEscaffold_560_Cont30048, whole genome shotgun sequence.
ACCAGGAUGGCCGAGUGGUUAAGGCGUUGGACUUAAGUUCAAAUGUACGGAUGUACGCGUGGGUUCGAACCCCACUCCUGGUA